GACGAACGCUGGCGGCGUGGAUUAGGCAUGCAAGUCGAACGGUAUCAUCCUUUCGGGGGUGAGAGAGUGGCGAACUGGUGAGUAACACGUAGGUUAUCUACCCUCAAGACGGGGACAACCCAGGGAAACUUGGGCUAAUACCGGAUGUGAGCAACUUUUAGUUGUUUGAAAGGUGGCGUAAGCUGUCGCUUGGGGAUGAGCCUGCGUCCUAUUAGUUAGUUGGUGAGGUAACGGCUCACCUAGGCAAUGAUAGGUAGGCGGCCUUAACGGGUGGUCGCCCACACUGGGAUUGAGAUACGGCCCAGACUCCUACGGGAGGCAGCAGUCGAGAAUAGUCUACAAUGGUCGGAAGACUGAUAGUGCGACGCCGCGUGAACGAUGAAUCCCUUCGGGGUGUAAAGUUCUUUUAUAUGUGAGCAGUGCUUCUUAUAUUAACAGUAUGGGGAGAGAGAUAUUAAGCAUAUGAAUAAGCAAACGGCUAAACUCCCGUGCCCAGCCAGCCGCGGUUAAAA
rnacentral:rRNA from 1 species